rnacentral:rRNA from 1 species
UACGUAGGGGGCUAGCGUUGUCCGGAUUUAUUGGGCGUAAAGAGCGUGUAGGCGGCCAGGUAGGUCUGGUGUGAAAACUCGAGGCUUAACCUUGAGAUGUCAUCGGAAACCAUUUGGCUAGAGUCCGGAAGAGGAAAGUGGAAUUCCUGGUGUAGCGGUGAAAUGCGCAGAUAUCAGGAGGAACACCGGUGGCGAAGGCGGGUCUCUGG